rnacentral:tRNA from 1 species
CAGGGAGACAACAAAAUGUAAAUAUUAAUUUUGUUACCUUAGGUCGAUCGGUAUCUCAGAUUCUUAUUUUUUUAAGAAUUUCAGUUUCUAAGUUUUUUCUAGGUCACACCCAUCACUUUUUCCUGGGCCAUUAGCUCAGGUGGUUAGAGCGCACCCCUGAUAAGGGUGAGGUCCCUGGUUCAAGUCCAGGAUGGCCCAUAUCUCUAUGUUGGGGGUAUAGCUCAGUUGGUAGAGCGCCUGCUCUGCAAGCAGGAUGUCAGCGGUUCGAGUCCGCUUACCUCCACUGAAUACCACCUCUUACAUAUAUUCAAAGAGGGAAAUUGUUUUGAGUCGUGUCCUAUUUUACUCUGAGCGAAUCUAGCUUCCUAUUUUAUUUAAUAAAUAAGAUGCUGGACUCAUUGAAUUUUUUUCAUUGUUUUCAGAGAACCUUGACAACUGCAUAGAUUAUUUUUUAAGACAAUAAGCAUCUUUAAUGAUGCAGAUUUAUUAUUUGUGCUAAUGCAUUAAAUAACAAUUCUAUUAAGCUGAUGCUUCAAUUAUUGAAGUUAUU